rnacentral:rRNA from 1 species
AAAUUGAAGAGUUUGAUCAUGGCUCAGAUUGAACGCUGGCGGCAGGCCUAACACAUGCAAGUCGAGCGGUAGCACAGAGAGCUUGCUCUCGGGUGACGAGCGGCGGACGGGUGAGUAAUGUCUGGGAAACUGCCUGAUGGAAGGGGAUAACUACUGGAAACGGUAGCUAAUACCGCAUAAUGUCGCAAGACCAAAGUGGGGGACCUUCGGGCCUCAUGCCAUCAGAUGUGCCCAGAUGGGAUUAGCUAGUAGGUGGGGUAACGGCUCACCUAGGCGACGAUCCCUAGCUGGUCUGAGAGGAUGACCAGCCACACUGGAACUGAGACACGGUCCAGACUCCUACGGGAGGCAGCAGUGGGGAAUAUUGCACAAUGGGCGCAAGCCUGAUGCAGCCAUGCCGCGUGUGUGAAGAAGGCCUUCGGGUUGUAAAGCACUUUCAGCGGGGAGGAAGGCGUUAAGGUUAAUAACCUUG